rnacentral:rRNA from 1 species
GACGUAGGGCGCGAGCGUUGUCCGGAUUUAUUGGGCGUAAAGAGCUCGUAGGCGGCUUGUUGCGUCGACCGUGAAAACCCGCGGCUCAACUGCGGGCUUGCGGUUGAUACGGGCAGGCUGGAGUUCGGUAGGGGGAGACUGGAAUUCCUGGUGUAGCGGUGAAAUGCGCAGAUAUCAGGAAGAACACCUAUGGCGAAGGCAGCUCUCUGGGACGGUACUGACGCUGAGACGCGAAAGCGUGGGGAGCGAACAGG